GAUGGGCUUUGUAACCCCUGUCCUGUUCAGUUCUCUGCAGUUUCCUUCUUGGAAUGCUUCUGUGCGAUAUGGAACAGCUCAUCACUAUCCACCAUUUCCCAGUUGCUGGAUUUAGACCUCAUUUGCCAAUCAGGUACCAGAUGUGGAUGCUCAAGUACAAAGCCCACUUUCUCCAGGAAGAAAUAAAUUGGGCAGGACAGCUGCAAGGACAACGGUGCAGCCACGGGGCUUUCCUUUCUCCUCACCCACACCCAUUCCCUGGCUGAGAUGAUGCAAGAAGAAAGGCAGCAACAAAAGAAAGCCACCAACUAAAGGGAUGAAUUAAUGGUCUCAUAUGGCACAGGAACCUUUCCUACCCAAGCUGACUCUGUUUCAGUAUAUUAAUUUAUUGAAUACAAUCAUUGCCACAGCGAAACGUUUCUUUGUUUCUGUGCAAGAAGCCCCUGAGAUAGCUACUCUCUGUGAUGUAGGACCAGAUGCUGUUCCCUUCUGCCUGUCCAUCCGGGCUGGAUUUAGACCUUUCUGUGAUUAGGUAAUACUUUUUCCCUGGGUAAAGAUAAUCCUGCUGUUGCUUUCCUAGUAACUUCAUCUAGCACCCCUCAGAAGCUGCUCUUACUAUAGCCCUAGAAAUUAAAAUGCUUUGUGUCUCCCUCUAAUAGACCUAUCACUGGCUAGAAGAAACUUUCUUAAUUUCUGCAUUAAAUCAGCUUCAUCUGAGGGCAAAAACUGAAGAAAUAUUGAAGAAAGAUAAUCUCAGAGAUGAUAUGGAUAACACAGUGUUCUUCAACUUAAAAAUAUAGUCCUAGUGAUGGUACAGGGUUUACUAUGUGCAUUCCUUUCUUCUGUCAGGAAUGACACCAAGAACUCCCAAUCUACUACUUAUAAAGAAUGCAGAUAAGAUAUUAAAUGUCAUUUCUCUGUCAUUUAUGAGCCAUCUGGAUAAGAGGGAAGGGAAGGAAAGUGAUUAACUAAAGCCCUGAAAGUAAGGCUGGCUCAGAGCCCCAGCUGUGUCCUGUACCCACUUCAACUCAAUUCAGGGUAAAUCUAAAGAGGGCUGUCAAGCUGUUAAGAAACAGCCUUCCCACAGAGCAGAAGAGACAGAGAAGGAGCAGGGUCUGAAAAUCUUACCAAAUAUGUCCAAAUAUUUGAAAUAAGCUCAAACAUUCAGUGGCUGCUUAGCCAUACCUUUUACAUUCAACCCACAACAAUUAGUGGGAACUGAACUCUGA